rnacentral:rRNA from 1 species
CGAACGCUGGCGGCGUGCUUAACACAUGCAAGUCGAACGAUGAAGCUGGAGCUUGCUCCGGUGGAUUAGUGGCGAACGGGUGAGUAACACGUGAGCAAUCUGCCCUUGACUCUGGGAUAACUGCGGGAAACUGUAGCUAAUACCGGAUACGAGGCUCGAAGGCAUCUUCGGGUCUGGAAAGAAUUUCGGUCAAGGAUGAGCUCGCGGCCUAUCAGCUUGUUGGUGAGGUAAUGGCUCACCAAGGCGACGACGGGUAGCCGGCCUGAGAGGGUGACCGGCCACACUGGGACUGAGACACGGCCCAGACUCCUACGGGAGGCAGCAGUGGGGAAUAUUGCACAAUGGGCGCAAGCCUGAUGCAGCAACGCCGCGUGAGGGAUGAAGGCCUUCGGGUUGUAAACCGUCUUUAGUCAGGAAGAAGCGAAAGUGACGGUACCUGCAGAAAAGACACCGGCUAACUACGUGCCAGCAG